UCUAAGACCCCAGCCCGACUAGCCAGCCGGACACCCCCUCAGCCCACAGACUUCUUCUAUCUGGCUUCCCUUCCUUAGCCCAGGGGCCCCUCAAUGUACAGACCCAGGACCCCCAGCUUUUGGCAGACUGGAGAACCCAGCACCCCCACCUCGCCCUGCCUAGAGACCCCAGCCCCUCCACUCCUCAGUCCCUCACUUAACCAAUUCUAAACUUCAGGUCACCACGGGGUCCCUGGUGCCCCUCCCCACUUCCAAAACACACCCUCUUCCCUUCACCUUCAGACUUAAUACCCUUCUUACCCCUUACCCUUAUCCCAGGUCUUCUGCCCCACAUGGCCUGAGGCCUCAACUCCCUCAGCCCCUGAAUCCACCACAACAAGUCCCCUUAUCCCCACACACACCGCUCCCCAAAUUCACCAUCUCCUAACGACCUCUUCAGUGAGAAUUCUCACUCUCCUACUGGGCUCACUUCCCUCAUUUACUACCCAAAUAAAUAUAUCCUGAUGCAUCCAUUAGUCCCUCUUUUUUAUUCUUUGACACCCCAGUUCUCAACUCUGCUCCCCAGUCUUCUCUGCUCAGGCUACCUCGUCCCUCAAGUCACCUCAGUACCCUGUCUGAAACACUGAUCCAAAAGGGACCCCACCCCCACACACAUCCAAAAGAUCCCUCCCCAUACCUGUUUCCUAAGAAGAGGCAAAAUGGUGGUAGGUUUUAUUUUGUUUUUCUGUGUCUAAAUAAGGGGAUGAAAUAAACUCAGGAAAAGGAAAGACAACAAGUACUUGAGAAGCUGGGAUUCACAUCCAUUACCACCUCAGCACAGAGAGCAAGAGUGAACAUUGAUGAUGAUGGUGGGUGCCUACAGGCCCCAACCUGUCGGAUGCAGCCCUGGCUCAUGAGAAUCCAUUCAGCCCAAAGUUGAACCAAUAAAGGUUGUGAUUCUUCUCUGCUGUUGAAUAGCAAGCCAUCUUGGGGUGGGAUGAACAAGGUGUAAGGAGCCUUGUUCCCUGAAGCACUGCAUGGAGGAGAGCAGCCCAUCAACCAGGAACAUCUUCCUUGGACUGUAACAUAGGCAAGAUACAAACUUUUGUUGUAACAAAUUAUUGAAAUUUUGGGCCUCUUUAUUCCCUCAGCCUAGCCUAACCUAAUACAUCCCAAUCCUCACCUGGCAGGAGUUGUCUUGUCAGUCAGGACUCAAUUUAAAUAUUACCUUCUCAGACGAUCUUUCUUCUUGAUUACUUAACAGUAGUAGCCUCUGCUCAUUCCCAGCCUGUCAGUCUACUAAAUUUUCAUUGUAGAAUUUAUCUCUACCUGGCAUCAUUUUGUUUGUUGUCACUGUCCAGAGACUGCAACACUGUAAGCUCCGUGGGAAUGUGCACCUUUGCUCAGCUCAGUGCUGUGAGUCUGGUACAUGCUACUGAAUGUUUAUUGAAGGAAUAUCUUCUAAUCACUUUUUUCUGAUCAGUUGUCAAUUCAGUUGGGAUGCAGAAACAUUUUUACCUGGCCAUUGAAGUAAAAGGACAGAAAGAGAACAAAGGACAAAUGUAAGGUUGCUUCUCUUUACAACUGAUUUGGGACUUUGGAUAAGGAACUAUAGUAAAAGUCUAUACAACCACUAGCAGAGAGGUGCUGUUUGCUAAUGUCUCAAUUUAGUCUGAU